UCCGGUUCUUCACCAGCAGUCUCCUUAGAGUCCCCACCAUUACAUGUUGGCAACUAAGGAUAAGGGUUGCGCUCGUUACGGGACUUAACCCAACAUCUCACAACACGAGCUGACGACAGCCAUGCAGCACCUGUCUCUAAAUUCCUUUCGGCACUCCCGCAUCUCUGCAGGAUUCUUAGGAUGUCAAGGGUAGGUAAGGUUCUUCGCGUUGCAUCGAAUUAAACCACAUGCUCCACCGCUUGUGCGGGCCCCCGUCAAUUCCUUUGAGUUUUAACCUUGCGGCCGUACUCCCCAGGCGGAGAACUUAUCGCGUUAGCUUCGAUACUAAUCCGCUCGCGCAGACCAACAUCUAGUUCUCAUCGUUUACAGCGUGGACUAC
rnacentral:misc_RNA from 1 species